rnacentral:rRNA from 1 species
UACGGGGGGGGCAAGCGUUGUUCGGAAUUACUGAGCGUAAAGAGCUCGUAGGCGGUCUGUUGCGUCUGCUGUGAAAACCCGGGGCUUAACCCCUGGCUUGCAGUGGAUACGGACAGACUAGAGGUAGGUAGGGGAGAAUGGAAUUCCCGGUGUAGCGGUGAAAUGCGCAGAUAUCGGGAGGAACACCGGUGGCGAAGGCGGUUCUCUGGGCCUUACCUGACGCUGAGGAGCGAAAGCGUGGGGAGCGAACAGG